CCUUUGGAGAUGAGAACAUCCUACUUGGACAACAGCAAGUUCCUCUAGAACCACCCCACUUACCCAGAGCAAGAACUGUUUCAGGGCGAAUCAUUUCAGUGAUCAAUAUACUUGACUUACAUGAGGGAGAACUCUACCUGGACCCUGUAGAUCAUGCCAUUGAUCAGUUAUUCACAGAAAACAAUAUCCAUUCUUUCAUCUUUGCUUUAAAACUUGGUCAGUUAACGGAUGAUGAUAUGGCAGGACUAGAAUGGCUGCAGAGAAAGUUUGGAGAAAAUGUUCUUUCAUUUGUGAUAAUUCUCUUCACUUACGAGAGAGAGGAGGCCUGUGACACCAUUAUAGAUGACCUGAAGAAAAACAGUGUUCUAGAGGAGCUGCUGAAGAAGUGUGGAGACAGAUAUCACACCUGCAGCAAGAGCAUGAACAACCAAUCAGAGAUGAGAACACUGCUGGAGAAGAUUGACCAUCUGGUCUCUGAAAACAAACAACACUGCUACACUGCUGACCAAACAUCCUUAAAGACCAGGGAAAAACAACGUGUUAGGAGCCAAAUAACUGCUAGAGCUGCAGUUCAGAUUCAAGAAGACGACAUUGACUCCCUAAGCAUCAGUCAGGACCCAAAUAUACAAAGAAAGGUCAUUUACUUCAUGUAUAAACACAGACUAUUAAAUAUAUGAAUGUGAGCUUGGGUCAUUGUAUAAUUACACAAUUAUGCUUCUAUGUGCUGCAUGUUGCAUAUAAUUUAUUUGUGUAAAGUUGAACACAUGAAUGACAAAAUCCCUUUCAAUAUAUUUGUCACAGUAUGGCCCCUUCUCCCAAAUGUCUGUGUGUGUGUGUGUGCAUGCGUGCAUUCGUCUGUAUGGCCACGCCCUCCCUGUGUUUCACACCUGCUCCUCAUUCUGUAUCAUUAAUGUGCAUGUAUAUAAGUCUUGUGUUUGAAUGUGAAUGUUGUCAAUGUUUGAACCCAGUUAGCCUGCUAGCCAUGUAGCUGUCUUUGUUUUGUGUAGCAAUAAAUGUUUUGUUGUGUUUAACAUGACUCAUCCCCGCAUCC
ensembl:lncRNA